rnacentral:ncRNA from 1 species
GAAAGCUCCUGGGGAACGGUUGGUCAUCUGAUAAAGAUGGCAGCAUCUGUAGAGAUGUGGGAUCCUACCGCCGGGAGCUAUUUUUUA